CGACCCUCUCUGCUCUUCCCCAGCCUGCGCUGCUCCAGCUCCACGUGCGCCCGGGGAUGCAAUGCAGCCCUGCAGACAAGCGUCUCCGGCAGGACGUGGGCCGCGGGUCUCGGAGCCUCCUUCACUUAGUGUUCUCACUUCCAGCAGAAAUCCUAGAGCCUAUGAACUCUACUGAGAGCUGAGACUCCUUCUUCACUCUUUACAGAUCCCAUGAACAGCAGUACCACCUGCCAACGCGUCCUCAUAUGUAAAAUGGGCAUAAACUCGAACCUCCCUCCUAAGGCUGUGAGUUCAGUGAGCAUUUAAUGGGCACUUUAGAACAACGCCUAAAGGUUUGAUAAAUUAUCCCUUGCAAAUAGCACUGCAUUAAAUUAGCCACUCUGUGAGGUAGGUACCGCUAUUUCAAUUUUUCAGAUUAGGAAAUUGGAGCUUGGAAAGUUUCAGAUACAUUUCCUUUUUUUUUUUUUUUUUUUUUUGAUCCAGGAACUAUUACACAGGCUGGAGUGCAGUGGCGCGAUCUCGUGUCACUACAACCUCUGCAUUUCC
rnacentral:lncRNA from 10 species